rnacentral:rRNA from 1 species
AACCAGCACCUCAAGUGGUCAGGAUGAUUAUUGGGCCUAAAGCAUCCGUAGCCGGCUCUGUAAGUUUUCGGUUAAAUCUAUGCGCUCAACGUAUAGGCUGCCGAAAAUACUGCAGAACUAGGGAGUGGGAGAGGUAGACGGUACUCGGUAGGAAGGGGUAAAAUCCUUUGAUCUAUUGAUGACCACCUGUGGCGAAGGCGGUCUACCAGAACACGUUCGACGGUGAGGGAUGAAAGCUGGGGGAGCAAACCGG